AUUGAACGCUGACGGCAUGCCUUACACAUGCAAGUCGAACGGCAGCACGGGAGCAAUCCUGGUGGCGAGUGGCGAACGGGUGAGUAAUAUAUCGGAACGUGCCCAGUCGUGGGGGAUAACGUAGCGAAAGCUACGCUAAUACCGCAUACGAUCUAUGGAUGAAAGCGGGGGAUCGCAAGACCUCGCGCGAUUGGAGCGGCCGAUAUCAGAUUAGCUAGUUGGUGGGGUAAAGGCCCACCAAGGCGACGAUCUGUAGCUGGUCUGAGAGGACGACCAGCCGCACUGGGACUGAGACACGGCCCAGACUCCUACGGGAGGCAGCAGUGGGGAAUUUUGGACAAUGGGCGCAAGCCUGAUCCAGCAAUGCCGCGUGCAGGACGAAGGCCUUCGGGUUGUAAACUGCUUUUGUACGGAACGAAACGGCUCUCUCUAAUACAGGGGGCUAAUGACGGUACCGUAAGAAUAAGCACCGGCUAACUACGUGCCAGCAGCCGCAGUAA
rnacentral:rRNA from 1 species